CCAAAUCUGAUUUAAAUUCAAAUUUUAAACACAUGUGCAAGAGGGGAGGAAUUUGAAAUCCAUGCAGCAGAAUUUUCCUUCCUCUUGUCGCAUAUAUUUCAUUUGAAAUUCGAAUUUAAAUGAUUCAGAGGUUCACACGCCAGCUAGGAAAGUUAUUUGAUGUAUGAAAUCAUUUAAUAUUUUGCUUAAUGUUUGAAUUCAAAUUCAAACAACAAACAAUGUCGCCAUGUGUCAAGCAAUUGGUCCAUGCACCAUGCAAUAAUUUUGGUUUAUUUAAAAUUCAUGAAAUUCAAUUCCAUGUCACUACUAAUUGCCACAUCAUCUGAGCCUAAUCCUCUU
rnacentral:lncRNA from 1 species